UUUGGUAUUGAUUGCAUAGGAGAUACACCUGUUCCCAUGUCGAACACAGAAGUUAAGUCCUAUAACGCCGGAAGUAGUUGGGGGUUGCCCCCUGUGAGAUAAGGUAGAUGCCAAGU
rnacentral:rRNA from 2 species